UGAAACAGAUUGGUAUUAGGCAACAAGGUGGACGUAUACUAUUGCACACGGAAUAGUUUCCAGCAUACACUCAUCCGUACCCAACUCAAACUCAAUAACCUUUGGACUAAUAUAAAGGUUGGGGCACACACCCCAAAACGCCCACGGAAUUAACAAAUGCCAUAACACCCAACACCACGCGUAUGAGAUUGAAGGCAGAUCCACACACGCCAGUAUGAAGAUUGAAGGAGAUCCACACAACGCCAUAUUGACACACGCCAAGAACAUCAACUUCAACAACAAGUAGACUCCACACGAAUCGAAGGGGUGACAUACUGCAGGACGCCCAGCACAUCGAACAAGGGAAGAAGAAACGCCAGAAAAUCAUCAAUAGUAAUAUAUAGCUGAAAUCUCAAGGUCUGUUUAGAUCUUUCCAUCCUGCAAUAAACAUCAACUGCAACAACAAGUAGACUCCACACGAAUCGAAGGGGCGACAUACGGCAGGACGACCGGCACAUCGAACGAUGGAAGAAGAAACGCCAGAAAAUCAUCAACGGUAAUAUAUAGCUGAAAUCUCGAGGUCUGUUUAGAUCUUUCCAUCCUGCAAUAAUUUUGGGUAAAUAUUAGUGCAAUAUCAUAUGAACCACUCUUUUUAAAAUUGUUUUGAAGGCAAUAUCUCUAUGACGUACAUGAAGUUGAGUGAGUUAACCGCAAGAGGACAGACAUGGAAUAUUAAAGCCAAAGUAAUGAGAAUGUGGGACUCGACCAACCCUUUGACUGAUGAACUUAUAAGCAUCAAUAUGAUCUUGAUGGAUGAGCAGGUAUUUUCUUCACAUAAUCAACAAUGGGAUUGUUUUACUGUUAAAACUACUACUAAGAUUUUUCUUCAUUAAAUUCUGAAGGGCCAUACAGUUCAUGCUGCUAUCUGGAAGAAUCUAAUUGACACUACAGAGCAAAGAUCAACGAGGGUUUUAUACAUGCUUUUAGCAAUUUUUAAGUUGUAGAUUCGACAAAAUAUCAGCCAGUCAACAAUGAAAUUAAAAUUAUCUUUUUAUACAAUACAAAAUUAAAGGAGAUGAAAGGUUCAUCGGAUAAUUUUCCAGAUUACUACUUCAAGUUUGCUGGCAAAGAUACCCUAAAAGAACGGCUAGAAAAAGACCAACAAUGCUCAGGUAUGUUGAUAGUCAUAUUCUUACUUCCAAGUGGUAAAUUUAAAUUUGAAGUCAUUUGUUGGUAGUUGUAUUAAUAGACUCCAAAUUAAUAACUUCCUAAUUUUUAAGUCUUCAAUCUUCAAAUUUGCAGAUGUCAUUGGGUUACUUACCAAGAUUAAGCCAAUAGAAUUAAGGAUAACAAAGAAGAAAACACCUUCAGAUAUACGUGAGAUUGAAAUUCUAAUGUCAGAGUAAGUGUAUAUCCAUGCCUCGAUUUUUCACUGAAGGGUAAAGACUAUUUUCCUCCACUUAUAUUAUUAUUACCAUUAAUUAUUCAGGGGUGAUAAAAAUCAGAGUAUCAUUAUGGGGAACAUUAGCUCACCAUUUAAGUGAGAAUGUAAUAUGCAAUGAAACAAUUAUUAUUGUUACCUCAACAAUGGUGCAAAAAUUCAACGGUAAGUUCAAUAUGUUUACACGUCAUUUUUUAUACCAAAAUAAUCUAUAUCUAUAUCUAUACCUACUAAUAAACCAAGGUGAUAUUCUUGGUUUCGUCCCGCAUUAGAUAUUUUUUUCCAUUAGUUUUGAUCGACAGUACGUUCAAUUGCGAGGUGGUACUAAAUUUUUUGGUCCGCAUCCACAUCCUCUCAAUGGGCCUGCACGCACGUUCCGGCGUGCACGCACGUUUAGGUACCUUACCUGAUUUUCACACGUACUCACAAUAAUCCCACCUCGAUUGCUUUCAUGAAAUCCUACCAAUUUAUAUACAUACGCAAAUUGCCUGUAAUAUCAAAAACUAGCCUCUUGGAUCAAGAAACACAGAACGAGUAAAGAGAAAGAGAGAAGGGAGGGGUCAGACAUGACCGGUAGUCCGGCGCACGGGGCUCCCGGAGCAAGGCAAGGGACGGAGAUGGCUGAAGAAAAGGGAGGCAGUUCGGUGCGAACGGAAAAGGGCUUCAGCGGCCGCCCGAGAUGGCGUCGCCGGGAGGAGGAAGCGGAGGCGGAGAUGGCCGGAGGAGGUAGGGCAGGGCAGACCGGCAGCGCGCGGGCUCCCGCUCUCUUUGUGAGCGUGUCUGGCGGCGCUGGGAUUGGGAGGAUAGGAUCGAGGGAGUUGUUGGGGAUCGGGGGGAUAGGUUAAACUUAUUGGGCCGGCCUGGCCGGUUGGUCCUUUCCCUCUCCCGUCAUUACAGAAAUUAGGAAAAGAGGCAAUGAUGAAAAAAAUAGGUAGCUAGGUUGCAUGAAAAAAAUAUGAAACUUUUCUUGUGGUGUGCAUGAUUUAUACUUAGGUCCACAAAAGAAGUUUCACCGAAAUUGGAGAAUUUUGGAAAAAGUUUUGGGGGCCAAACUUGUAAUUGAAAAUGCAAAGGAUUUUGGAGAAGGUUGGAAUGGAAAUUGGAAAAGAAAUUAAAUAAAAUACAAGGAAAGCUCAAAUGAUUUUCCAAAAAUGUCCAUAGUUUUAAUUUGGUGUGAAAUAUUCAAUCAUGAUGAAAUGUAAAAAUAAAAUAAAAUAAACAUUAUAAUGACGACAGAAUUGGUCUCGGUUUGUUACAACUCCGAUCUUAUGUUAUCUUCUUACGGAGGUUCAAUCUAUUCAUGAGAAUUCGUUAUUUUCAAUAAUCUUCUAAGAAACUGGCAGCUAAAUUUGAUAACAAAACUUUAUUUUUGAUAUAUAAUUUUUUGAAUAACAAGUUAGAGGGAAAUAGCAUCGAUUUUCAUAAAAAAUAUUAUGCAACUCACACAAAAAAUUACAUAUAUAAAAAAAGGGUAGUAUAAUUAUAUACACCACUUGACCUAAUAUUGGAAAUUAGCAUAACACUAAAACCGAUUAUGUAAUAUUUGUUCUCUUUUCUCUAUUUCCACAUAUCAACAAAAAUCGUUGAUAAGGAUCAGGUAGGGCAAGGAAUGGGAAAAAGGGUGUGUGAUACUACUCAGUCUCAUUUUUAUAUUAUGGGACAUAGGGAGUAAUCUUUUUUUCCCGUUGCAACGCACUGGCCCAUGUGCUAGUAAAUCUAAUAGAUUUAUUGCUUAUUAAAUAGGUUUGUGCCUAAAGUCAACUAGCGCCACAAGAUUAUAUACCAAUCUAGAUAUACCCGAGACUUGGGAACUUCGUGGCAGGUAUUAAGCACAAUUUGUAGGUACUGGUGAUAUAGAAGUUCAUAAUAUAUCUUCAUUUACUAACUUUUACUUAUAGCCACUCCGCCGAAGAAACUCUACCAAAAAUGAUGGAGAUAGAUAAAAGUACUCAAGGUACACUGGAAGAUCAAAUGUUUUACAGAAGGAUAACCUUAAAAGAACUUACUGGAAUCAAGCACGACAACCCAACAGAUGAGGUAAUGAAUCAGAACUCUUCUAAGAUAUGAUAUUGUAGAAGCCUCCAAGAC
rnacentral:lncRNA from 1 species